AGGCAAGCCUCCAGCAUCCUGGGGUAUGGAGUGACCCUGUGCAUUCCUACAGUGCUUGCAAGAACAUUAUAAAAUGGUUUGAGGCCUUGCCCUGCUCCAUCAGGAACAAGGUUAUAGAAAUUUCAGAUAUGA
ensembl:snoRNA